UACGAAGGGGGCUAGCGUUGUUCGGAAUUACUGGGCGUAAAGCGCACGUAGGCGGACUUUUAAGUCAGGGGUGAAAUCCCGGGGCUCAACCUCGGAACUGCCUUUGAUACUGGAAGUCCUGAGUAUGGAAGAGGUAAGUGGAAUUGCGAGUGUAGAGGUGAAAUUCGUAGAUAUUCGCAGGAACACCAGUGGCGAAGGCGGCUCACUGGCCCGGUACUGACGCUGAGGCACGAAAGCGUGGGGAGCAAACAGG
rnacentral:rRNA from 1 species